rnacentral:lncRNA from 1 species
CACGACAAAAGGAGGUUCUAGCUCUGACACAUAUUUUCCAAGUUUACCAGAGAGCAAGAGGCUAAGAAACCCUGGUCUGUUUCUUCCAAAAGCUCUCUCACAUUCUCGUUCCACAUCUUCAGCCAAGGAGGAAGUUUCUACUUGUCUCUCCUAUCAGACAAUGCCAGUCUCCUAAAAUGACUUUUUUGGAACUGCCUCAGUUGUUUUAGAAUACGAGAGAUGCAGAAAUCAAGACCCAAGCAUGCACCAGAGUUCCAG